rnacentral:rRNA from 1 species
UGCCCAAGAGAUCGGGAUAACACCUGGAAACAGAUGCUAAUACCGGAUAACAACAGAUGAUGCCUAUCAACUGUUUAAAAGAUGGUUCUGCUAUCACUCUUGGAUGGAUCUGCGGUGCAUUAGCUAGUUGGUAGGGUAACGGCCUACCAAGGCGAUGAUGCAUAGCCGAGUUGAGAGACUGAUCGGCCACAUUGGGACUGAGACACGGCCCAAACUCCUACGGGAGGCAGCAGUC